rnacentral:lncRNA from 1 species
GGGCCAGACUGUGAUAGUCAUGAGCGGAGGUAAGCUUAGUGCUAUCUCUUUGUUCUCUUUGUUUUCUUUGUAAUUGAAGAGUAAUAGAUAGUUUCUGAAUACUAUGAAGUGAAUCUUUGGAAUAAAUCAAAGAUUAAUUUAUAUGAUAUUGAGUAUGUAAUUAGAGUACUAUGUGAUUGAAUUAUUAUGAGAAGAUAUUGGAAGUUUGUUAUCAGAUUUUGUAGAAGAUUGUUUUUGGAUGGAAGAUUAUGAUUGUUAUUAAUUGAGAGUUAUGUGUGUUUUGACAAAAGAAGUCUAUGAUUACAAAAAUUAUAUGAAGCAAGAUUGGUUGGAGUGGAAGACUAUUAUUUCCAGUGUUGGAUGGAAUUUGUGUGUUUUGAGUGGUCUUUUGAGAGAUCAAGAUUACAUGUUUUUGUUACCAGUUGAUGAAAGAGUAUUA